UACGGAGGGCGCAAGCGUUGUUCGGAAUCACUGGGCGUAAAGCGCGUGUAGGCGGCUUGGCAAGUCGGAUGUGAAAUCCCGAGGCUCAACCUCGGAACUGCACUCGAAACUGCCUGGCUCGAGUCCCGGAGAGGGUGGCGGAAUUCCCGGUGUAGGGGUGAAAUCCGUAGAUAUCGGGAGGAACACCAGUGGCGAAGGCGGCCACCUGGACGGUGACUGACGCUGAGACGCGAAAGCGUGGGGAGCAAACAGG
rnacentral:rRNA from 1 species